GUCUGGGGAUCUGCCUGAUGGAGGGGGAUAACUACUGGAAACGGUAGCUAAUACCGCAUGAUGUUACGCGACCAAAGCGGGGGACCUCCGGGCCUCGCGCCAUCAGAUGAACCCAGAUGGGAUUAGCUAGUAGGAGAGGUAAUGGCUCCCCUAGGCGACGAUCCCUAGCUGGUCUGAGAGGAUAACCAGCCACACUGGAACUGAGAGACGGUCCAGACUCCUACGGGAGGCAGCAGUGGGGAAUAUUGCACAAUGGGCGCAAGCCUGAUGCAGCCAUGCCGCGUGUGUGAAGAAGGCCUUCGGGUU
rnacentral:rRNA from 1 species